UACGGGAUAACAUAUUUGAGAGGCAUCUCUUAAAUAUCAAAGGUGAGCCAGUACAGGAUGGACCCGCGUCUGAUUAGCUAGUUGGUAAGGUAACGGCUUACCAAGGCGACGAUCAGUAGCCGACCUGAGAGGGUGAUCGGCCACAUUGGAACUGAGACACGGUCCAAACUCCUACGGGAGGCAGCAGUGGGGAAUAUUGCACAAUGGGCGAAAGCCUGAUGCAGCAACGCCGCGUGAGUGAUGAAGGCCUUCGGGUCGUAAAACUCUGUCCUCAAGG
rnacentral:rRNA from 1 species